rnacentral:rRNA from 1 species
GCUAGCGGCAGGCUUAACACAUGCAAGUCGAGGGGUAUAGUUCUUCGGAACUAGAGACCGGCGCACGGGUGCGUAACGCGUAUGCAAUCUACCUUUUACAGAGGGAUAGCCCAGAGAAAUUUGGAUUAAUACCUCAUAGCAUAGCAGUCUCGCAUGAGAUCACUAUUAAAGUCACAACGGUAAAAGAUGAGCAUGCGUCCCAUUAGCUAGUUGGUAAGGUAACGGCUUACCAAGGCUACGAUGGGUAGGGGUCCUGAGAGGGAGAUCCCCCACACUGGUACUGAGACACGGACCAGACUCCUACGGGAGGCAGCAGUGAGGAAUAUUGGACAAUGGGCGCAAGCCUGAUCCAGCCAUGCCGCGUGCAGGAUGACGGUCCUAUGGAUUGUAAACUGCUUUUAUACGAGAAGAAACACUCCAACGUGUUGGAGCUUGACGGUAUCGUAAGAAUAAGGAUCGGCUAACUCCGUGCCAGCAGCCGCGGUAAUACGGAGGAUCCAAGCGUUAUCCGGAAUCAUUGGGUUUAAAGGGUNCGUAGGCGGUUUAGUAAGUCAGUGGUGAAAGCCCAUCGCUCAACGGUGGAACGGCCAUUGAUACUGCUAAACUUGAAUUAUUAGGAAGUAACUAGAAUAUGUAGUGUAGCGGUGAAAUGCUUAGAGAUUACAUGGAAUACCAAUUGCGAAGGCAGGUUACUACUAAUGGAUUGACGCUGAUGGACGAAAGCGUGGGUAGCGAACAGGAUUAGAUACCCUGGUAGUCCACGCCGUAAACGAUGGAUACUAGCUGUUGGGAGCAAUCUCAGUGGCUAAGCGAAAGUGAUAAGUAUCCCAC